rnacentral:rRNA from 1 species
UACGAAGGGGGCUAGCGUUGUUCGGAGUUACUGGGCGUAAAGGGCGCGUAGGCGGCGCACCAAGUCAGGCGUGAAAGCCCUGGGCUCAACCCGGGAAUUGCGCUUGAGACUGGUGUGCUUGAGUACGGGAGAGGAUAGUGGAAUUCCCAGUGUAGAGGUGAAAUUCGUAGAUAUUGGGAAGAACACCGGUGGCGAAGGCGGCUCUCUGGACCGAUACUGACGCUGAGGCGCGAAAGCGUGGGGAGCAAACAGG